GGCUCAGAUUGAACGCUGGCGGCAGGCCUAACACAUGCAAGUCGAGCGGGGUUUUCGGACCUAGCGGCGGACGGGUGAGUAAUGCGUAGGAAGCUGCCCGAUAGAGGGGGAUACCAGUUGGAAACGACUGUUAAUACCGCAUAAUGUCUACGGACCAAAGUGUGGGGACCUUCGGGCCACAUGCUAUCGGAUGCGCCUACGUGGGAUUAGCUAGUUGGUGAGGUAAUGGCUCACCAAGGCGACGAUCUCUAGCUGGUUUGAGAGGAUGAUCAGCCACACUGGAACUGAGACACGGUCCAGACUCCUACGGGAGGCAGCAGUGGGGAAUAUUGGACAAUGGGCGCAAGCCUGAUCCAGCCAUGCCGCGUGUGUGAAGAAGGCCUUCGGGUUGUAAAGCACUUUCAGCGAGGAGGAAGGGUGGUGUUUAAUAGAGCAUCAUUUUGACGUUACUCGCAGAAGAAGCACCGGCUAACUCUGUG
rnacentral:rRNA from 1 species